GUAUUAAAAAUAUCGAUUGAUAUUUUGAUGAUUAUAAAAUUAUAGAUAUUUAUACAAAAAGUAAUUGAUACGUCUAUUGUACACGUAUGCUGUAUUGUAUUACGAAAAAGAAAUUCACGAUUCAAGAAAUAAAUCAGAAAUUUAUUAGAAUGUUCCUGUUUAUGAUGCAAUUAUACGGUUACAUGACUUUAAACUUUCUCGCUUAAUAGUGUGAGUCAUAUCUUACGUGUGAAUGAAGUUGACAUAAUGCAGCUUCGAAUUUUGCAUUUCAUUCAAAAAUGGCGCUGAAUGAUACUUUCUGAAUUCAAAUGUUAUCGCUAUCAUAUUUUUGUUAUUAUAAUCAAAAAUUGACGAAUAAGGACAUCUUCAAUUUUACUUCGUCAGCUAUACCACCAUUUUGACUUGACACAUGCGCUUUAAACGGUGACGCGAUCAAUAUCUCCCAACACAACUAUAAAA
rnacentral:lncRNA from 1 species